rnacentral:ncRNA from 1 species
AAUGAUGGUUUGAUUGCGUUUCAUGAUAAGUCAUAUGGGCUUGUUUUUGUAUAAUUAAAAAAACUAUAAUUUCCACAGUGGGCUUACCGACUACAGAGAUUAUAGAGCU